rnacentral:rRNA from 1 species
UAAUACGGGGGGUGCAAGCGUUGUUCGGAAUUAUUGGGCGUAAAGAGCGUGUAGGCGGCCGGAUAUGUCAGAUGUGAAAGCCCCGGGCUUAACCCGGGAAGUGCAUUUGAAACUGUCCGGCUCGAGUAGGGGAGAGGGAAGUGGAAUUCCUGGUGUAGAGGUGAAAUUCGUAGAUAUCAGGAGGAACACCGGUGGCGAAGGCGACUUCCUGGCCCUAUACUGACGCUGAGACGCGAGAGCGUGGGUAGCAAACAGG